rnacentral:lncRNA from 1 species
CUAAUUAUCAUACUUAUGAGAGUAAAAUUAGUGUUUUAUUAUUCUCUGCCUUAAUCUAUUUUCUGUUGCUAUAACAGAGCACCACAGGAAAUUUACUUUUCACUGUUUUGCAGCCUGUGAAGUUCAAGAGCCUGGUACUGGCAUCUGGUGAAGUCUUCUGUCUGUGUCACAUUAUGAGAGGAGGCAUCACAUGGAACUAAGUGUGCUGGACCCUUGAGCCACCAGCCUGGAGUUGGGGAAGCACCUGCUGUAUACCUUCCCUGGAGAGUGGGACAGCAUGAAACCUCUUUCCCCAGGAGGACAGGACUGGCGUGUGCCCCAAUGUCUUCCUAACCAGACUCGGUGGAGAAAUUGACAAGUUCCCUGUCAGGGCUUCUAGACAAGGUCCAUUUGAACCCACUGCUUAUAUCACAUCUGCUAACUUCUUAUUGGCCAAAGUGAGUCACACAGCUGGGCCUACUGUCCAAGGAGGGGCAGUGCAACCCAAUCAUAUGGGUUCUGCAAAAUUACAUGGCAAAGGAUGUGGUUAUCAAGAAAGGUAAGAAUUAGAGCCAUCUUUGCAAACCAUCUCAGAUAUCCUAAUUAAGUCCUAUUCCUCCAGUCAGAGUUCAUUUCCUUUGUUCAUAAACAAUGAAAUUGGAUGAUACAGUUUUCUUUUAUACUUAGGUACUGAGACCACGAGUCUGCAAGCUGAAGAUCUCAUAGGAGCUGCAACCGUGUCCCUCAGGUAGUUACCUUCUCCUUAGAGUUUAGGGGAGGCAGUUCAGCAAAGUGUGUUGAAUGGAGUAGUGU